CCUACGGGUGGCAGCAGUGAGGAAUAUUGGUCAAUGGACGAGAGUCUGAACCAGCCAAGUAGCGUGAAGGAUGACUCCACAAUGGGUUGUAAACUUCUUUUAUAAAGGAAUAAAACGAGGCACGUGUGCCUGUUUGCAUGUACUUUAUGAAUAAGGAUCGGCUAACUCCGUGCCAGCAGCCGCGGUAAUACGGAGGAUCCGAGCGUUAUCCGGAUUUAUUGGGUUUAAAGGGAGCGUAGAUGGGUUGUUAAGUCAGUUGUGAAAGUUUGCGGCUCAACCGUAAAAUUGCAAUUGAUACUGGCAGUCUUGAGUACAGUUGAGGUAGGCGGAAUGCGUGGUGUAGCGGUGAAAUGCUUAGAUAUCACGAAGAACCCCGAUUGCGAAGGCAGCUUACUAAACUGUGACUGACAUUGAUGCUCGAAAGUGUGGGUAUCAAACAGGAUUAGAUACCCCUGUAGUC
rnacentral:rRNA from 1 species